AUUGAACGCUGGCGGUAUGCUUAACACAUGCAAGUCGAACGCGAAAGUCACUUCGGUGAUGAGUAGAGUGGCGGACGGGUGCGUAACGCGUGGGAAUCUGCCUAGUAGUUGGGGACAACUUGGGGAAACUCAAGCUAAUACCGAAUACGCCCUAAGGGGGAAAGCAUGGGAUCUUCGGACCAUGCGCUAUUAGAUGAGCCCGCGUAAGAUUAGCUAGUUGGUGAGGUAAGGGCUCACCAAGGCGACGAUCUUUAGCUGGUCUGAGAGGAUGAUCAGCCACACUGGGACUGAGACACGGCCCAGACUCCUACGGGAGGCAGCAGUGGGGAAUAUUGGACAAUGGGCGCAAGCCUGAUCCAGCAAUACCGCGUGUGUGAAGAAGGCCCGAGGGUUGUAAAGCACUUUCAAUUGUGAAGAGGGGUAAGUUAUCUAAUAGGUGUCUUACCUGACGUUAGCAUUAGAAGAAGCACCGGCUAAAUCCGUGCCAGCAGCCGCGGUAAUACGGAUGGUGCAAGCGUUAAUCGGAAUUACUGGGCGUAAAGCGCGCGUAGGCGGUUUAUUAAGUCAGAUGUGAAAGCCCUGGGCUCAACCUAGGAACUGCAUUUGAUACUGGUAAACUAGAGUAUGUUAGAGGAAAGUGGAAUUUCGGGUGUAGCGGUGAAAUGCGUAGAUAUCCGAAGGAACACCGAUGGCGAAGGCAACUUUCUGGGGCAAUACUGACGCUGAGGUGCGAAAGCGUGGGGAGCAAACGGG
rnacentral:rRNA from 1 species